UAUAAUUUAUUUCAUAUUUUAUAUAAUCUUUAACUUAUUUUACAUAAUUUAUUUUAUAUUAAACAUCUUCAUAUCACAUUGAAAUAUCAUUUUUAACCGGGGACUACCGCCUACAAUCCGAUAACGAACGACGGUCACCCGCGUCGUCGCACGCCCGCGCCCGGAGAACCCGUAUCCGCGGUUCCUCGUCGAUACGGUUUCGGAGGCGGGUGUCUCUGCGUCGGCGUGGACGGGAAACCACGCGGCGAUGAUCACACUCAUCGAUUAACCACCGUGACGACGAGACGAAGCGGUUUCCAGGGCGCCGAGCCGCGUCAUCCGUGUCGAUUUAUUCGUUUAAUUUGUUUUAUUAACACGGCGCCGCAGACGUUCUCGCGAAGGAAGACGCCGCCGUCCGACCCCGUCUCACCGGCUGCGCGUGGACGGCUUCGCGGUUCUGCCUUUUUAGGGUUUCCUGAAGACGGUGUGAUUUUUUUUUGCAUAAAUUUACAUGUUAAUGAGGACUCGCUGGCAUAAGUUCGCACGCACGUGGGCGAUUGGCCUGGACGCGCGUAAAUUCAGAUUAAAAGUACGUCAGCGACCUCACGAAAUUUUGGGAUUUUUCCGCAUGAGUUUGCAUAUUAACGAGGAGACAUUUGCAUAGAUCAAUGUGCACGAGGGCGAUUAGCAUGGAUUUGCAUAUGUUCAAAUUAAAAAUACAUCAUUGACCUCA